UGCUGAAGUCAUGUCUUGACAGAGGAUAAAUUCAUGCUUAAAGGAAAUACGAACAUGGACAUUUAUUGAUGACAUUAUAUUACUUCCUGACUUGUCUGCUGGUGGUCACAGAGUAGACUGAAUUGAGUCCAGGAAAGAAAGUUGAAGUACAAAUUCCUUAUGAAGUAUGAAGUUAAUACUGCAGCUUCAGCUGUCACAGCAACAACC
rnacentral:lncRNA from 1 species